rnacentral:ncRNA from 1 species
GUUUUGAUCCUAAACUUACCGCUAUUUUUUAUCAAAAUUAUACAUGCAAGUAUCAACAAUCCAGUGAAAAUGCCCAAUUUUUAACAGACCGGAGCAGGUAUCAGGCACAACACUAUACCCUUGGCCAAUAACACCUUGCUUUGCCACACUUACACAGGCACUCAGCGGUAAUUAACAUUAGGCCAUAAGCGAAAGCUUGACCUAGCUAUGAUUUAAAAGGCCGGUAAAUUUCGUGCCAGCAAUCGCGGUUAUACGAAAAGCCUAAAAUAUUAUACACGGCGAAAAGCGUGAAUAGAACUUUUAUACCACCAACCUAAAAAUGAAAGCCCCUCAGCAGUAAAAUGCCCAAACUUAAAGAACCCCAGCCUUUUUAGCUUCGCUGGAUAAUUGACUCACAAAAACUAAGAAACAAACUAGGAUUAGAUACCCUACUAUGCUUAGUCUUAACCUUAGAUUACAUCCGCCAGAGAACUACUAGUGAAAAACUUAAAACUCAAAGGAUUUGGCGGUGCUCCACUCAACCUAGAGGAGCCUGUCCUAUAAUCGAUACUCCACGAUCAACCUCACCACCCUUAGCCCCUCAGCUUAUAUACCGCCGUCGUCAGCUUAUCCUGCAAAAGACUAAAAAUAAGCAAAAUAGUUCCCCACUAAAACGUCAGGUCAAGGCGUAGCUUAUAGGGUGGCAGUGAUGGGCUACACUCUCUACAAUAGAGGAAACGAAAAGCACAGUGAAACCUGUGCUAAAAGGCGGAUUUAGAAGUAAAAUGAACCAGAAUAUUCAUUUAAAAACAGCCCUGGAGCGCGCACACACCGCCCGUCACCCUCCUCAACACUACAAACCAGAUAAUAUAUUUCCUAUACAUCAACAAGAUGAGGCAAGUCGUAACAUGGUAAGCGCACCGGAAGGUGUGCUUGGAAUCAAAAAGUAGCUU